CUGUGCAGGGCCAGUCAAGGCAGCAAACACCCCUAAAAACAUGAGACAUCACUUCUGACCUUGCUCUUCCUGUGACCUUACAGCGCUGGCUUGCAGAAGGAAUAUGCAUAUACAGAUAUCUUGGCAUAGCUUCAAGAGCAGUUCAAGAAUGUGCUGUGAAAUGUUGAGGAAGAAGAUCAGUUUUUAACAGGUUACUAGUCAGCCUAGUAAUGUUUAAGAGAAAACAGACUCAUUACGCUGACCAAAAGGUGAAAAAACAGUGAGUGACUUUGUUUAGGCUUGUUGAAGAUCACAAAAGUUGGUGGAUUACAGUUACUACAAAGCCAGAGGGAAAAAUUGCACAAUGUUUUCUGUCAUCCAUCCUCCUUCUCAUAGAGAAGAUAAAAGACCAGUACCAUGACAGACCACUUUCCAAGGAUGGAGAGGAAAGGAAAAUCAUAGGAAAGACCUUUCUGAUUAGCUUAUCUCAUUAAGACCUGGAAUAAGUAUGAUGCAUGUUUUACAAUGCUCUAACUGAAUUAUGUUCAUAGUUGGGGUAUUUACACGUGC